AUCAACCUCACCCAGGAGAUGCGGGCUUCCGUCAGUUCGUCGACGCUGAUCACGCUAGACUGGCUUUGCGCAUGGCGGAGCUGGCGAUGGAUCAGCAACCAGCGACGGCACCAUGCAGUGAUCCGCAGCAGUCGUUUCAGCGAAGAGUAGCGAAGCAGCAAUUCCGAUUCGGGCUUCAGCUCGGCAACGGCGGCGACGUGAGCACGGACUCGUCUCUCUGGGAGGUCCUCUGCUGACAUCUCCUCGCUGUUGGUCGUCCAAGGACUGCUCUCCGCUGCUAGCCAUACGGGACCUUGCCACCAGAGCGGGUGGUCAACCAGCUCGCUAGAAUAGAGCCCCCGGGAAACACAGUCCGCUGGGUUUUUCCGACCUGGUACGUGAUGCCAGUGGGUCCAGGAUCAGUGUUUGUAUUUUGCUGACCCGGUUGGCCACAUAGAUGGCCCACGUCGAGGGAUGCCCACGGAUCCAGCCGAGCGUGACGGUGAAAUUAGACCACAUAUGAAGAGGUGUCUUGUCUGCUCCAAUGAUCGGUACGGUGUGGGCGGCUAGACAAGCCAGAAGAGUGGCGGCAGACAGCUCCAGCCGAGGUAUAGCACAGCUGAGUAGGCACGCUCUGAGGCAUCGGCGAACGUGGAUCUUUCGCUGUGAGUCAGCCAAGCUUCCUAGCCAUCGAGGUACGAGCAAGUUUUCCAGAGCAGGCAGCUCGCUCUGGAAUUGUAGCCAUCUCCUCUCUUCGUCGAUUGGCAGCGGAGCGUCCCAAUCGAGGCCUAGCAACCAGGUGGACUGGAUGAAGAUCUUAGCUAGUACUGUUGUUGGGGACAGCCAGCCGAGAGGGUCUAACAUCUUUGCUGUCAGUGAAAGUACCGACCUUUUGGUGAUGGUCGAUAGAUUGAUCCGUUUGGUGGCGAAGGCGAAGCGAUCGUUCCGGGGUAGCCAGCGUAACCCAAGAGUGGAGUGACUCUCGCCGGGCAGCCACCAUCUGGCCUUUCGUUGAAGGCGGUCGUCGGGCCCCACUUGGUUCAGCAGUAGCGUGUGGUUUGCCGACCACUUCUUAAGCGAGAAGCCGCCCGCCUUGCAGAUAUCAAUCAGCUGUUGUAGCAUGACUUCGGCUUCCUUCAUGGUCUCCGCACCGGUCAGGAUGUCGUCCAUGUAGACGUCGCUCAGCAGAAUAAUGACUCCUUUCGGGUAACGAUGUUCUUCGUCCUCGGCCAGUUGACGUAAAGUACGGAUUGCCAGAUAAGGAGCACAGGAUAGACCGCUUUGGUCGUCAGGGUGCACCAGGAUCUGCCUAUACAUCUUCUCGAUGUCGGUCGCCAAGACGUAGCGAUGACGUCGCCAACGCAGCAGGAUGUCGGCCAGUGAAGGAAGCAAAUUCGGUCCCGUUGCAAGAUAUUUGUUGAGGGAGUCUCCGUUUGGCAAGGAGCUCAAGCCGUUGAAGACGACCCUCAGUUUUGUGGAUGUGCUGUCCGGACGCAAGACCCCGUGGUGCGGCAGGUAGCAAGCACCCGGAUGCGAUUCUGUCGACGAAGGAGCAUCAUGUGGCGCAGGUCCAAGUAUUGUCGCAUGAAUUCCGCGUACACGGUUCGAAAUUCGCUGUCUCUCUCAAAUUUCUUCUCCGUGUGUUGCAGAGCACGGCGGGCGGAGCGAACUGUUCCUGCUAGGUCCGGCAGAGGCUCAAUCGUGGGCAGACGCACAAUGUACCAGCCGUCGGCAGUGCGUGAAUGGUGCAGGCAAUAGUGCUCUUCGCACUUUAGUUCGGCCUUAGAGAAGAGCUGAGACGGCCGACGAACUUCUUCUUGCUCCCAGAAGCGACGCACCAAACAGGUGAGGUCUUCCUCCACCUGGCAAUGGUUGGAGGAAAUACGUUGGCCGCGUGCAUUCUCAUUGAUGGCCCUGGCGGAUGAUUACUCCGUAGACGUCGGCACCCAGCAGAAGAUCUAUUGGAUCCGCGGAACUGAACUCUGGAUCGGCGAGCUCCAGGUCCUCUAGAUGUGUCCAGGAUUGCAGACUUCGGCGGCAUCCUUCGGAGAAAAGCGUGAGUUUCGGCAAGAUCAAGGCGGCGACGGAGUUGGACGACUUACCGUUGUGCGCUCGAAAGGUAAGCUUUACCUUGCCUUUGGCAAUUCCCGUCCGUUUCUCGCCGAGUCCAUAGACGCUGACGGCGGCGGGCAUACGAGGCAGUCGCAGUCGCUGAACCAACCGCUCCGUUAUGAUGGAUGACUCUGAGCCCUGGUCGAUCAGCGCUCGGGCGGAAUGCCAGAAUCCGUGGCAAUCGAGGACGCGGACUCGAGCAGUGGCGAGCAGCACCGUGACAGAGGCGGGGUGCGAUCUUUGAGCCACAUGUGAUGUCGUGGCGGUCUCGGCGUCGCGGAAGGCAUCAUGCAGCGAAGAGUGAUGCCGACUGCCACACACUGAAAAUUAGUUCUUGAGAAAUAAAAUUAAAGACGAAAUACGAAAGAGAAAAAAGUCUGUUACUGCUUGAUUUAUGGACAGGACAUUAUUCGAAACAAUUAAAAGAAUUUAUUCCGGCAAACAAAGAAGUAAAUAUUUUAACAAUACCAAAAAAAAAUAGUUUUGUACAACUUUUAAAUGUUUUCGGUUUUAGA